rnacentral:tRNA from 1 species
GGGAUAUUGACAGAAUGGUUAUGUAAUUGAUUGCAGAUCAAACCAAAAAGGUUCAAUUCCUUUAUAUCCCU